AUUCAGAUGACGAGUCUCAAAUAGGACGAAACACACGUCAAACUGGAU
rnacentral:hammerhead_ribozyme from 1 species